rnacentral:rRNA from 1 species
AGCCAUGCAUGUGUCAGUACAAACAAAACUAAAGUGAAACCGCGAAUGGCUCAUUAAAUCAGCUAUGAUUCAUUGGAUCUGUACACCCAGUUUUCCUUGGAUAACUGUGGUAAUUCUAGAGCUAAUACAUGCACAUAUAGUCCCUAACCUUACGGGAAGGGCGCAUUUAUUUGUAUCAAAACUGGUCAGGCUUGGUAGGGUUUGGGUCAGGUCGUCUGUAAAUCCAAUUAUGAUGACUCUGGAUAAGUUUGAGCUGAGCGCACGGUCUUUGCACCGGCGCCGCUUCUUUCAAGUGUCUGCCUUAUCAGCUUUCGAUUGUAGUUUAUGCGACUACAAUGGCUAUGACGGGUAACGGGGAAUCAGGGUUCGAUUCCGGAGAGGGAGCCUGAGAAACGGCUACCACAUCUAAGGAAGGCAGCAGGCACGCAAAUUACCCACUCCCAGCACGGGGAGGUAGUGACGAAAAAUAACGAUGCGAGACUCAUCCGAGGCCUCGCAAUCGGAAUGAAUACACUUUAAAUCUUUUAAUGAGGAUCAAUUGGAGGGCAAGUCUGGUGCCAGCAGCCGCGGUAAUUCCAGCUCCAAUGGCGUAUAUUAACGCUGUUGCGGUUAAAAAGCUCAUAGUUGGAUUUCAGAAUUGGACUGAAAUGGUUCACCGUCUGGUGUUUACCAAAAAUCACGCUUUGAGAAUAAAGCAAUCACAACAAGUUUGUGUAUGCACUGCUAGCUCACACGGGGUGCUCUUAAUCGAGUGUCCCGAGUGGCUGGCAUGUUUACUUUGAAAAAAUUAGAGUGCUCAGAGCAGGCUAACUGAAUGGCCUGAAUACUUUCUGCAUUGGAUAAUGUAAGAGGAUCUCGGUUCUAUUUUGCCAGUUUUCACUUUUCCAGGAGAUAAUGAUUAAUGGAUACAAGUGGGGGCAUUAGUACUGCGACGCUAGAGGUGAAAUUCUCCAAGGAUGUUUUCAUUAAUCAAGAACGAAAGUAGAGGUUCGAAGGCGAUCAGAUACCGCCCUAGUUCUAACCAUAAACGAUGCUAACCAGCAAUCCGCCGGUGUUAUUUCCAUGACUCGGCGGGCAGCUUCCGGGAAACCAAAGUCUUUGAGUUCCGGGGGAAGUAUGGUUGCAAAGCUGAAACUUAAAGGAAUUGACGGAAGGGCACCACCAGGAGUGGAGCCUGCGGCUUAAUUUGACUCAACACGGGAAACCUCACCAGGCCCAGACACUGGAAGGAUUGACAGAUUGAGAGCUCUUUCUCGAUUCAGUGGGUGGUGGUGCAUGGCCGUUCUUAGUUGGUGGAGCGAUUUGUCUGGUUAAUUCCGAUAACGAACGAGACUCCGGCCUAUUAACUAGUCGACGGAUUAUACUGCAUGUGUAUGUCCAGUUCGCAACUUCUUCUUAGAGGGAUAAGCGGUAGUCCUAGCCGCACGAGAUUGAGCAAUAACAGGUCUGUGAUGCCCUUAGAUGUUCUGGGCCGCACGCGCGCUACACUGAAGGGAUCAGAGUGUUUUCCCCCUCCGAGAGGAGCGGGUAACCCGAUGAAACCCCUUCAUGAUUGGGAUUGGGGCUUGCAAUUGUUUCCCAUAAACGAGGAAUUCCCAGUAAGCGCAAGUCAUGAGCUUGCGUUGAUUACGUCCCUGCCCUUUGUACACACCGCCCGUCGCUACUACCGAUUGAAUGAUUUAGUGAGGCCUUCGGACUGUCGCUCUUUGAAUGUUUUAAGCUGACUGCUACUUACCUCAUACUCUGAGGUUGUAAGUUGGUGGUUUGGUUGAGUCCUCAUAGAGCUGACGGAAAGAUGUCCAAACUUGAUCAUUUAGAGGAAGUAAAAGUCGUAACAAGGUUUCC